rnacentral:rRNA from 1 species
UACGUAGGGUGCAAGCGUUGUCCGGAAUUAUUGGGCGUAAAGAGCUCGUAGGCGGUCUGUCGCGUCGGCUGUGAAAACUCGGGGCUCAACCCCGAGCCUGCAGUCGAUACGGGCAGACUAGAGUGCUGUAGGGGAGACUGGAAUUCCUGGUGUAGCGGUGAAAUGCGCAGAUAUCAGGAGGAACACCGGUGGCGAAGGCGGGUCUCUGGGCAGUAACUGACGCUGAGGCACGAAAGCGUGGGGAGCAAACAGG